GGGCCUGUGGCGUAACGAAUAGCGCGUCUGACUUCGGAUCAGAAGAUUCCAGGUUCGAAUCCUGGCGGGCUCG
rnacentral:tRNA from 1 species